UUGAUUGAAGCCAAAGCGGGAGAGGCAGCUUAAUGUUAAUAAGAAUAAUGAUUUUUUAAUCCAAUUAAA
rnacentral:tRNA from 1 species